GUCCUUUAGCUUCUAUUUUUUUUUUUUGCUCUAUUCUAACUUUAUACUGACCACAUCUAAAAAAAACAUGCUCUGUAAGGCUACAAAUGCAUUGCAAAGGCUGCGUUUCGAUUACUCCUUUUCCUAUUCAGGCAUCUCCUAUUGAUUUCCCACCUUUUACAAUGCAUGGUUGCUAGGUGUAUUUGUACCCUAGCAACCAGAUGGUUGCAAUAGCAAACUAGAGAGCUUCAGAAUUAAAAUCUACAUAACCAAAA